rnacentral:rRNA from 1 species
UACGGGGGGAGCAAGCGUUGUUCGGAUUUACUGGGCGUAAAGGGCGCGUAGGCGGUCAGCACAAGUCAGUUGUGAAAUCUCCGGGCUUAACUCGGAAAGGUCAACUGAUACUGUGCGACUAGAGUGCGGAAGGGGCAACUGGAAUUCUCGGUGUAGCGGUGAAAUGCGUAGAUAUCAAGAGGAACACCUGAGGUGAAGACGGGUUGCUAGGCUGACACUGACGCUGAGGCGCGAAAGCCAGGGGAGCAAACGGG